UUUUAAGAUGGACUUAAACAUUCUUCAUCACUACUAUUUUUAUUAAAAUUUCUAGAAAUAAUCAAGUGAGAAUGCAUUUAAUAAGAACAUGAGAUUUUGCCUAACAUAGAAUUCCCUCCAGCUUUGAUAUAGAAAAGCAGUUAUAUAAUUAAGAUAUAUAUAAUGUGAAUUGUUUAUGUUGGCAAAACUAAUGGCACAAAGAAAAAUUUCAAACCCUUAAGCCAAUUUUUUUAUUUUAUUUCAGGUGCUAUUCAAGCACAUAAUGGUAGUCUUCAGCACCUUACUUGGCUUGGCUUACAGUGGAAUUCAUUGCCUGCUUUACCUGGAAUCCGAAAAUGGCUAAAACAGCUUUUCCAUCAUUUGCCCCAGGAAACCUCAAGGCUUGAAACAAAUGCACCUGAAUCAAUAUGUAUUUUAGAUCUUGAAGUAUUUCUCCUUGGAGUAGUAUAUACCAGCCACUUACAAUUAAAGGAGAAAUGUAAUUCUCACCACAGCUCCUAUCAGCCGUUAUGCCUGCCCCUUCCUGUGUGUAAACAGCUUUGUACAGAGAGACAAAAAUCUUGGUGGGAUGCGGUUUGUACUCUGAUUCACAGAAAAGCAGUGUAAGUAGUAAAACAAAAAUAUUGCUUUCACUUAGUGCGUAGGUUUUACCAGGGAUUUAAUCCUCAUGUGAAGAUUUAAUUUGUCAUGUGACCCAUUAACAUAUAUGUAUGUAAGCGCUGAACUGUGUAUUUAGAAAGCAAUUUUAGUAAAUUGAACUAUUUUUUAGACCUGGAAACUCAGCAGAAUUGAGACUUGUAGUUCAGCAUGAAAUAAACACUCUAAGAGCCCAGGAAAAACAUGGCCUUCAACCUGCUCUGCUUGUACAUUGGGCAAAAUGCCUUCAGAAAAUGGUGA
rnacentral:lncRNA from 1 species